rnacentral:rRNA from 1 species
GAUGAACGCUGGCGGCGUGCCUAAUACAUGCAAGUCGAGCGAACGGACGAGAAGCUUGCUUUUCUGAUGUUAGCGGCGGACGGGUGAGUAACACGUGGAUAACCUACCUAUAAGACUGGGAUAACUUCGUGAAACCGGAGCUAAUACCGGAUAAUAUUUUGAACCGCAUGGUUCAAAAGUGAAAGACGGUCUUGCUGUCACUUAUAGAUGGAUCCGCGCUGCAUUAGCUAGUUGGUAAGGUAACGGCUUACCAAGGCAACGAUGCAUAGCCGACCUGAGAGGGUGAUCGGCCACACUGGAACUGAGACACGGUCCAGACUCCUACGGGAGGCAGCAGUAGGGAAUCUUCCGCAAUGGGCGAAAGCCUGACGGAGCAACGCCGCGUGAGUGAUGAAGGUCUUCGGAUCGUAAAACUCUGUUAUUAGGGAAGAACAUAUGUGUAAGUAACUGUGCACAUCUUGACGGUACCUAAUCAGAAAGCCACGGCUAACUACGUG